rnacentral:tRNA from 1 species
GCAGUGGUGGUUCGCUGGAAGAAUUCUCGCCUCCCAUGCGGGAGACCUGGGUUUGAUUCCUGGCCAAGGCA